CCUACGGGGGGCAGCAGUGGGGAAUAUUGGACAAUGGGCGAAAGCCUGAUCCAGCCAUGCCGCGUGUGUGAAGAAGGCCUUCGGGUUGUAAAGCACUUUCAGUGGGGAAGAAAGCCUUGGGGCUAAUACCCUCGAGGAAGGACAUCACCCACAGAAGAAGCACCGGCUAACUCCGUGCCAGCAGCCGCGGUAAUACGGAGGGUGCGAGCGUUAAUCGGAAUUACUGGGCGUAAAGCGCGCGUAGGCGGUCUGAUAAGCCGGUUGUGAAAGCCCCGGGCUCAACCUGGGAACGGCAUCCGGAACUGUCAGGCUAGAGUGCAGGAGAGGAAGGUAGAAUUCCCGGUGUAGCGGUGAGAUGCGUAGAGAUCGGGAGGAAUACCAGUGGCGAAGGCGGCCUUCUGGACUGACACUGACGCUGAGGUGCGAAAGCGUGGGUAGCAAACAGGAUUAGAUACCCCAGUAGUC
rnacentral:rRNA from 1 species